CAGUAGCCGCGGUAAUACAGAGGGUGCGAGCGUUAAUCGGAUUUACUGGGCGUAAAGCGUUCGUAGGCGGCUUUUUAAGUCGGAUGUGAAAUCCCUGAGCUUAACUUAGGAAUUGCAUUCGAUACUGGGAAGCUAGAGUAUGGGAGAGGAUGGUAGAAUUCCAGGUGUAGCGGUGAAAUGCGUAGAGAUCUGGAGGAAUACCGAUUGCGAAGGCAGCCAUCUGGCCUAAUACUGACGCUGAGGUACGAAAGCAUGGGGAGCAAACAGGAUUAGAUACCCGUGUAGUCCCUGUCUCUUAUAC
rnacentral:rRNA from 1 species